rnacentral:tRNA from 1 species
UUAGUAGAAGCCAAAAAGAGGCUUGUUAUUGUUAAUAAUAGAAAUGAAAUUAUCCUGCUAUU